UUAAACGCGUUGAAGGGGAUCAGUAAGAAGGGUGGAACUUUCCGAUACCAGAGAGUCGGUGUAGCUGGGAGCCGAUAUCGGUCCCUCUUCUGAAAUACAACCUCGGAGCUGAGGGGUCUCUUCGGAACUCCCUCCGGCCGUCCACCGUUAACAGGAUGUUGUAUGCCCAUAUGGGGUAUGCAACCCUAAGUGGAACCGUGAGGUUCAAAAAGGGUGGUACCGCGAGACUCCUCGUCCCUUAU
rnacentral:ncRNA from 1 species